rnacentral:rRNA from 1 species
UAGGGAAUCUUCCACAAUGGACGCAAGUCUGAUGGAGCAACGCCGCGUGAGUGAAGAAGGCUUUCGGGUCGUAAAACUCUGUUGUUGGAGAAGAAUGGUCGGCAGAGUAACUGUUGCUGGCGUGACGGUAUCCAACCAGAAAGCCACGGCUAACUACGUGCCAGCAGCCGCGGUAAUACGUAGGUGGCAAGCGUUAUCCGGAUUUAUUGGGCGUAAAGCGAGCGCAGGCGGUUUUUUAAGUCUGAUGUGAAAGCCCUCGGCUUAACCGAGGAAGCGCAUCGGAAACUGGGAAACUUGAGUGCAGAAGAGGACAGUGGAACUCCAUGUGUAGCGGUGAAAUGCGUAGAUAUAUGGAAGAACACCAGUGGCGAAGGCGGCUGCCUGGUCUGUAACUGACGCUGAGGCUCGAAAGCAUGGGUAGCGAACAGGAUUAGAUACCCUGGUAGUCCAUGCCGUAAACGAUGAAUGCUAGGUGUUGGAGGGUUUCCGCCCUUCAGUGCCGCAGCUAACGCAUUAAGCAUUCCGCCUGGGGAGUACGACCGCAAGGUUGAAAC